UACGGAGGGUGCGAGCGUUGUCCGGAAUCACUGGGCGUAAAGGGCGCGUAGGUGGCGCGGGAAGUCAACGGUGAAAGUUCGGGGCUCAACCCUGAAUCGGCCGUCGAUACUCCCGGGCUCGAGCACUGUAGAGGCAGAUGGAAUUCCGGGUGUAGCGGUGAAAUGCGCAGAUAUCAGGAAGAACACCUAUGGCGAAGGCAGCUCUCUGGGACGGUACUGACGCUGAGACGCGAAAGCGUGGGGAGCGAACAGG
rnacentral:rRNA from 1 species